UGAGGAAUAUUGGGCAAUGCCCGCAAGGGUGACCCAGCAACGCCGCGUGGAGGAUGAAUGUCGUAAGAUUGUAAACUCCUGUUAGAGGGGAAGAAUAGUACCGGUUGGACCGGUAUAUGACUGUACCCUCAGAGAAAGCCCCGGCUAACUACGUGCCAGCAGCCGCGGUAAUACGUAGGGGGCAAGCGUUGUCCGGAUUUACUGGGUGUAAAGGGCGCGCAGGCGGGAUAAAAAGUCAGUGGUGAAAUCCUACAGCUUAACUGUAGAACUGCCUCUGAUACUUUUAUUCUUGAGUUCGGGAGAGAGAGACGGAAUUCCAGGUGUAGUGGUGAAAUACGUAGAUAUCUGGAAGAACACCAGUUGCGAAGGCGGUCUCUUGGUCCGACACUGACGCUGAGGCGCGAAAGCGUGGGGAGCAAACA
rnacentral:rRNA from 1 species